rnacentral:lncRNA from 1 species
CCAUAAAAGGCAGAUCCUGAAUCUAACCAACUGUGCAUAUUGAAUUAAUAAACAAUAUGUAAUUGGUCAGUAUUACAAUUGAGUUACAAACACAGUGCUGGGCUAAGGGGUGUCUGGCUGGCUAUUUUCAGAGUCCUAGAUAAAACAAGAGUGCUGCAAUCCAGAUAUAUUCCCAGGAGAAGAUCUUUCCAUAUUAGAAAGACACAUUGAAUUGGCAACCUUGGAAGAGCCUCGGUACUGAAACAGCAGGUGUGUGUAGAAGCAAAGGAGGUCAGGGGCGUAUUGGCAGAGACAUGCAGCGAAGCUUCGAUUACCAUGCCAGUAGAUUUCCACAUUCCCAGUUUUUCAGCAGGGGUUGCCAAUAUAGGCUUCCAAAUCUAUCCAAGAGGGACUAGGUAGCUCAUUCGCCCUUGAUUUGUCAUUGUUCCAGUAGAGUGUGCACUCUCCAUGUCAAGUCGUUGUGGUGACAGCCUCGCCUCCUACGUAUAGCUCUAGGGAAGAGCUGCUGCUCAUAUUUCAUGUUGCCUCCAAGUCCAGCACAACAGAGCUUUGCAAAAAAAAAAAUUGCAGCUCCCUGACCCCUCCACCCCAACCACUAUGAAUUACACUGGCACUUCUUACUCACUGUUUUUCUGAAGCACUCCUAUUGAAUCAAUGACUGAAUGUUGACUCAACAUUUAGGAUAUGUUCUCUCUGGGACUAUCAAUUGGAUUCUAUCCAUAUAGUCUAAGAGGGAAUGUUGUUAAAAACACACAUCCAUCUUUUGUUCCAAGACCCACUGAAGAAUGGGGAGCUACUCCAUGCCAUGCACCUGUCCAGCAUAUGAAGAAUUGCCUCGCCUUCCUGUAUACCGUAAAGAAUCCAGGUCAUCUGAUGGAAUCAGCUGCCAAUACGUUCAAGGAAAAGACCUUUCAUAAUCCCAUUCCUCCUACUUUAUCCUCUGCUAGUUGUAUAUAUGUCUUCUAGGACUAUGCCACAGCAAGUUUGUAAAGUAUGGAAGGGGUGGAGGUGGGGAUGGAAACUAAGCAAGAUAACGUGUUGGGUAGGGGUGCUUAUUAACCUCAUGCGGACAUAGCUCACAUGACAGGUGCUGUAGCCAGCAACUGAAACCUCUGAACACCCUAGCAUUUCUAUGCCACAGCAAAUUUGCUAAGUAUGGAAGGGGUGGAGGUGGGGAUGGAAACUAAGCAAGAUAACGUGUUGGGUAGGGGUGCUUAUUAACCUCAUGCGGACAUAGCUCACAUGACAGGUGCUGUGGCCAGCAACUGAAACCU